ACGGAAGGCAGCAGUGUGGAAUAUUGCACAAUGGGGGAAACCCUGAUGCAGCAACGCCGCGUGAGUGAUGACGGUCUUCGGAUUGUAAAGCUCUGUCUUUAGGGACGAUAAUGACGGUACCUCAGGAGGAAGCCACGGCUAACUACGUGCCAGCAGCCGCGGUAAUACGUAGGUGGCAAGCGUUGUCCGGAUUUACUGGGCGUAAAGGGAGCGUAGGUGGAUAUUUAAGUGGGAUGUGAAAUACCCGGGCUCAACCUGGGUGCUGCAUUCCAAACUGGAUAUCUAGAGUGCAGGAGAGGAAAGGAGAAUUCCUAGUGUAGCGGUGAAAUGCGUAGAGAUUAGGAAGAAUACCAGUGGCGAAGGCGCCUUUCUGGACUGUAACUGACACUGAGGCUCGAAAGCGUGGGGAGCAAACAGGAUUAGAUACCCUGGUA
rnacentral:rRNA from 1 species